UACGUAGGGGGCAAGCGUUGUCCGGAAUCAUUGGGCGUAAAGCGCGUGUAGGCGGCUCGGUAAGUCCGCUCUGAAAGUCCAGGGCUCAACCCUGGGGAUGCGGGUGGAUACUGCCCGGGCUCGAGUCCGGAAGAGGCGAGUGGAAUUCCCGGUGUAGGCGGUGAAAUGGCGCAGAUAUCGGGAAGAACACCUAGUGGCGAAGGCAGCUCUCUGGGACGGUACUGACGGCUGAGACGCGAAAGCGUGGGGAGCGAACAGGG
rnacentral:rRNA from 1 species